AGAGCGAACGCUGGCGGCAGGCUUAACACAUGCAAGUCGAGCGGGCGUAGCAAUACGUCAGCGGCAGACGGGUGAGUAACGCGUGGGAACGUACCUUUUGGUUCGGAACAACCCAGGGAAACUUGGGCUAAUACCGGAUAAGCCCUUACGGGGAAAGAUUUAUCGCCGAAAGAUCGGCCCGCGUCUGAUUAGCUAGUUGGUGAGGUAAUGGCUCACCAAGGCGACGAUCAGUAGCUGGUCUGAGAGGAUGAUCAGCCACAUUGGGACUGAGACACGGCCCAAACUCCUACGGGAGGCAGCAGUGGGAAUAUUGGACAAUGGGCGCAAGCCUGAUCCAGCCAUGCCGCGUGAGUGAUGAAGGCCCUAGGGUUGUAAAGCUCUUUUGUGCGGGAAGAUAAUGACGGUACCGCAAGAAUAAGCCCCGGCUAACUUCGUGCCAGCAGCCGC
rnacentral:rRNA from 1 species